rnacentral:rRNA from 1 species
AGUGAACGCUGGCGGUAGGCCUAACACAUGCAAGUCGAACGGCAGCACAGGAGGGCUUGCUCUCUGGGUGGCGAGUGGCGGACGGGUGAGGAAUACAUCGGAAUCUACUUUUUCGUGGGGGAUAACGUAGGGAAACUUACGCUAAUACCGCAUACGACCUACGGGUGAAAGCAGGGGAUCUUCGGACCUUGCGCGAUUGAAUGAGCCGAUGGCGGAUUAGCUAGUUGGCGGGGUAAAGGCCCACCAAGGCGACGAUCCGUAGCUGGUCUGAGAGGAUGAUCAGCCACACUGGAACUGAGACACGGUCCAGACGCCUACGGGAGGCAGCAGUGGGGAAUAUUGGACAAUGGGCGCAAGCCUGAUCCAGCCAUACCGCGUGGGUGAAGAAGGCCUUCGGGUUGUAAAGCCCUUUUGUUGGGAAAGAAAUCCAGCUGGUUAAUACCCGGUUGGGAUGACGGUACCCAAAGAAUAAGCACCGGCUAACUUCGUGCCAGCAGCCGCCGCCG